AAUAAUCUUAAACAAUAGUUU
rnacentral:snRNA from 1 species